rnacentral:rRNA from 1 species
GAGUUUGAUCCUGGCUCAGGAUGAGCGCUGGCGGCGUGCUUAACACAUGCAAGUCGAACGGGAAACCUUUUAUUGAAGCUUCGGCAGAUCUAGCUGGUUUCUAGUGGCGGACGGGUGAGUAACGCGUGGGUAACCUGCCUUAUACAGGGGGAUAACAACCAGAAAUGGUUGCUAAUACCGCAUAAGCGCACAGGACCGCAUGGUCCGGUGUGAAAAACUCCGGUGGUAUAAGAUGGACCCGCGUUGGAUUAGCUAGUUGGCAGGGUAACGGCCUACCAAGGCGACGAUCCAUAGCCGGCCUGAGAGGGUGAACGGCCACAUUGGGACUGAGACACGGCCCAGACUCCUACGGGAGGCAGCAGUGGGGAAUAUUGCACAAUGGGGGAAACCCUGAUGCAGCGACGCCGCGUGAAGGAAGAAGUAUCUCGGUAUGUAAACUUCUAUCAGCAGGGAAGAUAGUGACGGUACCUGACUAAGAAGCCCCGGCUAACUACGUGCCAGCAGCCGCGGUAAUACGUAGGGGGCAAGCGUUAUCCGGAUUUACUGGGUGUAAAGGGAGCGUANACGGACUGGCAAGUCUGAUGUGAAAGGCGGGGGCUCAACCCCUGGACUGCAUUGGAAACUGUUAGUCUUGAGUGCCGGAGAGGUAAGCGGAAUUCCUAGUGUAGCGGUGAAAUGCGUAGAUAUUAGGAGGAACACCAGUGGCGAAGGCGGCUAGAUGACCGGUAACAGACAUUGAGGCUGGAAAGCUGGGGCAGCACACAGGAUUAGAUACCCUGGUAGUCCACGCGGUAAACGAUGAAUACUAGGUGGUGGGGAGCAAAAGCUCUUCGGUGCCGCCGCAAACGCAUUAAGUAUUCCACCUGGGGAGUACGUUCGCAAGAAUGAGACUCAAAGGAAUUGACGGGGACCCGCACAAGCGGUGGAGCAUGUGGUUUAAUUCGAAGCAACGCGAAGAACCUUACCAAGUCUUGACAUCCCUCUGACCGUUCCUUAACCGGAACUUUCCUUCGGGACAGGGGAGACAGGUGGUGCAUGGUUGUCGUCAGCUCGUGUCGUGAGAUGUUGGGUUAAGUCCCGCAACGAGCGCAACCCCUAUCCCCAGUAGCCAGCGGUCCGGCCGGGCACUCUGAGGAGACUGCCAGGGAUAACCUGGAGGAAGGCGGGGAUGACGUCAAAUCAUCAUGCCCCUUAUGAUUUGGGCUACACGCGUGCUACAAUGGCGUAAACAAAGGGAAGCAAACCUGCGAAGGUAAGCAAAUCCCAAAAAUAACGUCCCAGUUCGGACUGCAGUCUGCAACUCGACUGCACGAAGCUGGAAUCGCUAGUAAUCGCGGAUCAGAAUGCCGCGGUGAAUACGUUCCCGGGUCUUGUACACACCGCCCGUC